AGCGAACGCUGGCGGCAGGCUUAACACAUGCAAGUCGAGCGGACCUUUCGGGGUCAGCGGCGGACGGGUGAGUAACGCGUGGGAACGUGCCUUCCGGUUCGGAAUAACCCUGGGAAACUAGGGCUAAUACCGGAUACGCCCUUAUGGGGAAAGGUUUACUGCCGGAAGAUCGGCCCGCGUCUGAUUAGCUAGUUGGUGGGGUAACGGCCUACCAAGGCGACGAUCAGUAGCUGGUCUGAGAGGAUGAUCAGCCACACUGGGACUGAGACACGGCCCAGACUCCUACGGGAGGCAGCAGUGGGGAAUAUUGGACAAUGGGCGCAAGCCUGAUCCAGCCAUGCCGCGUGAGUGAUGAAGGCCUUAGGGCUGUAAAGCUCUUUUAUCCGGGACGAUAAUGACGGUACCGGAGGAAUAAGCCCCGGCUAACUUCGUG
rnacentral:rRNA from 1 species